rnacentral:rRNA from 1 species
UAUUUAAGUUGUAUAUAAUAUAUUAUUAAAAUAAUAGUUUAGUAAUAAUAUCAUAAUAUUUUAAUAUAGUAAUACCUUUUGCAUAAUGGAUUAAUUAUAAUUUUAUAAUAUUCAUUCUCACGAAGUAGUUUUGAGCUAAAUAUAUUUAUAAUAUUAGUUAUUCAUGAAGGUGUUGUAAAAUCUUUAUUUAAAAUUAUAUUUAGGGGUGAUAGGCCUUUCAAAAACUAAGAUAUCUUGAAUCUAAUUAAAAGUAUGUAGUACAAUUAACACAACUAUUAAGUGAUUAGGCUUUAUAGAAUUAUUAACUUAUAAGAUUUUAUUUACUAUAAUUUAAUAAUUAAGUACAUAAAUAUAUUAAUAUUCAUAUAUUAUAGUUUAUAAAAGAGUAAUUAGAUAGAUUUAAGUUCAUAUUUCUUAUAAUAAUGUUAAUAUUAGUAUUAAGUUUAUAUUUAUAUGAUGAACUCGGCAAAAAUACUUUCUCAACUGUUUAUCAAAAACAUAACUAUGUGAUUGAAUACAUAGCGGUUUCUGCUCAAUGAUUAAUUUAAAUAGCCGCAGUAUACUGACUGUGCAAAGGUAGCAUAAUCAAUUGACUUAUAAUUGAAGUCUAGAAUGAAUGAAAUGAUGGGAAGCUACUAUAUUUUGUAAAAUAUAUAUAAUUUAUUUAUGAAGUGAAAAUACUUCUAUAAAUAUAAUAGACGAGAAGACCCUAGAAAUUUUUAAUAAUUAAAAUUAUAUUUGAGAAAUUUUUUGUUGGGGCGACAAAGUAGCAUAUUAACCUACUUAAAUUAAAUUUGCACUUUUUUAAUUGUUUGAAAAAAUUACUCUAGGGAUAACAGCAUAAUAUUUAAAAGUUUAUGACCUCGAUGUUGGAUUAGGAAAUAAUAACUUAAAAGGUUUUUUAUAUUGCUCUGUUCGAGCAUUAACUCCUACAUGAUCUGAGUUCAGACCGGCGUAAGAGGUCAGUUUCUAUCUUUAAAAUUUAUCUUUAAUAGUACGAAAGGAAUUUACCGAUUACAACAUAUGU